AGGGCCAUAUCACCUGUUCUCGUGCAACCAGUGAAAUUAAUCAACGUUGUGCCUGGUCAGUACAUAGAUGGGUGACCGCUUGGGAAUACUCGGUGCUGUAAGC